rnacentral:rRNA from 1 species
CGGCAACAGCUCAAAUUUGAAAUCUGGCCCCAGGCCCGAGUUGUAAUUUGCAGAGGAUGUUUCUGGCGAGGUGCCUUCCGAGUUCCCUGGAACGGGACGCCAUAGAGGGUGAGAGCCCCGUACGGUUGGUCGCUAAGCCUCUGUGAAACUCCUUCGAC